AUUGAACGCCGGCGGCAGGCCUAACACAUGCAAGUCGAGCGGAGGAAGGGAGCUUGCUCCUGGAUUCAGCGGCGGACGGGUGAGUAAUGCCUAGGAAUCUGCCUGGUAGUGGGGGAUAACGUCCGGAAACGGGCGCUAAUACCGCAUACGUCCUGAGGGAGAAAGUGGGGGAUCUUCGGACCUCACGCUAUCAUAUGAGCCUAGGUCUGAUUAGCUAGUUGGUGGGGUAAAGGCCUACCAAGGCGACGAUCCGUAACUGGUCUGAGAGGAUGAUCAGUCACACUGGAACUGAGACACGGUCCAGACUCCUACGGGAGGCAGCAGUGGGGAAUAUUGGACAAUGGGCGAAAGCCUGAUCCAGCCAUGCCGCGUGUGUGAAGAAGGUCUUCGGAUUGUAAAGCACUUUAAGUUGGGAGGAAGGGCAGUAAGUUAAUACCUAGCUGUUUUGACGUUACCAACAGAAUAAGCACCGGCUAACUACGUG
rnacentral:rRNA from 1 species